GCCGAAGUGGUGGAACUGGUAGACACGCACGUUUGAGGGGCGUGUGGGGAAACUCAUAGGGGUUCGAGUCCCCUCUUCGGCACCA
rnacentral:tRNA from 1 species